GCCAAAAUAUCCUACAUCGGCGAAACGUCCUACAUUUGUCAAAUUUGACACCUAAAGUACUACCGUGUGCUCUAAACUUGUUUUGUUUAGAUGCAUACAGGAAUAAGAUACUAAAAAAAAUGCCUGCAGAAAUGUAAUGUUAUAUCAAAUAAGGACGGUUUAAACACGCUACGUGACUAAUGUGGUCAACUGCUUCAAAGCUAACACAAAAAAACACAAUGGUUAAAAGUAUGAGAGGGUAAUACAUGCAAAAAGUAUCUUUGAGGCUGUGAAAAGGUUCUAAAUAACUAAAUAAAAACCAAAAUAGUGAGUAAUCGCCGCCUCUAACCGAUGUGCGCAUGCGUGUGAAUGCAUGCGCAAGCGCCCUGAGCAUUGUGUAAGACGUUUCGCCGCGUAGUAAGGAAUGGCCGAACACCGGACCAUAUUUCCUCCACACCCUACUCACCUUUUUAACCGCUGACCCAUUUUCAUGCCUGACUACCACACUUUACAAUCCCAGUUGAGUUUGGCUGACAGGUGUUGAGCCGACAACAACUUUUGUAAAGCAUAUUAUCAGCAUGGAGGCGCGUCCAAACAAUGACAAGGCUGCGUUGACACUUCCGCGUUGGUAAACUUUCUCUUUCACUUUGGUUCGUUCAUUUGAUAAGACGUGUGGCAGUGCUGGCGUCCACCGGCGAUGGACAUUACCAAGUGUUACGAGUACUCCAUAUCGAGGGUGGCCGCCGCGGCUCGCAGCGAUCCUAGGAAGCGCCGAAGACGGCUUAUCCGCAGCGGUCUUAGGAAGCGCAUAACACAUCUUAUCGGCAGAGGUCCUAGGAAGCUCCUAAGACGGCUUAUCCGCAUCGGUCGCGCUGUGCACCUUGCGGACAACCGAGGCUGGAGGGCCAUUCACGAGGCGGCCGCCGCCGGCAGGGUGGAUUGCCUCAAGGAUAUCCUGUCUGAGGCCGCUAUGACUGUGCUCCAUUUAGAGCCUGGACAUAAACAGUUCCUUCCAACAUGCGCAGCCGGCUCGUCAUCAGGCUUCAAAGCGUACGUCAACUCCACCACCCACGAGGGCGAGACGGCCUGCUACCUGGCGGCCGAACAUGGCCACCUCCCCACCCUCCGCCUCCUCGUCAAAGCCGGAGCCGACAUCAACCAGCAGACAAACGAGCAUUUGUGUCCACUCUACGCAGCGGUCACUGACGGCAACAAGGACAUGGUGCAGGUUCUGUUGGCCAAGGGCGCAUUGGUGGACAGGCUGCACAGCAGGACGUGGCUUUAUGAAGCUGUCUACGUGAAUAACGUGGACAUUGUGCGCAUGUUGGUGACGCGGGCCAACCUGGAGGCAUGCGACGACAAGAAGAUCACGCCUCUCAUCCUGGCGGCACAGCAUGGACACCGUGAAUGUGUGGAAGUCCUGGUCCAAGCCGGUGCCGAUGUGAAUGCGCAGGACCGCGACUUGGCUACGCCGCUCUCUCUGGCUUCCCGGAGGGGUCACCUGGCCUGCGUGGAGUUUCUAUUGGAGCACGGCGCCGACCCCAACCUGAUUUGCAAAGAGGCAUGGCCGGAACUUGCCAUGCACGGCGCGGCGCAGUUCGGCCACCUCGAAAUCCUCAAGCGACUGGUCCCUGUGUCGGCGUGCUCGUCCGACCACCUCCCGGGCAACGUGAGCCCGCUCUACUAUGCCAUCGAAAGCCAAAAUGAGGACUGCGUAGACUACCUCCUUUCCGAGGGCUUCAACCCCGACGCGCAAGACUGCAGCGAAAUAUUAGGGGUUUACUCGCCGCUGCACUUAGUCUUACUGGAAGAAGACAGUUACGCGAUGGCGCCGAAGCUUCUGAUGGCAGGAGCGGCUCUGCGCAUAACUGAGUGGGGAUUCCUUCUGGCCGAAACCGACCUAGUCGAGCUGGUUCUGGACCUCAGGUGGCUUUACCCCCCGAGUUUCCCUGGCAACAAGGCCGACGAGAUUAAGAGUGUGUUGAGACCGGAGGAGUUCCAAGACAUGUGCGCGACGGCAUUGGCGCGACCGGAUUUAGCCCAGGAGUGGCUCCCACCUCUAAUAAGAGCGGGACUCGAUCCCUAUCUGAUGCUGCACACAGACAUACUGAUGGAAGCCAAAGGCAGCAUUGUUAACUUUCUGCUCCAGUUUGUCAACUGGUCAACCUUGACGUCGUCUUCCAAAGCUAUAUUGUGCCAUAGGCGAGCAGAAGGCACGUGGCAACCAUUCCCGCAAUUUGGGUUCUGUUUAAAGUGCAGAGAGCAUUAUGAGAACCAAGGAACACACCAGGCAGGUCCGAGAUACUGUUGUGGAGAAGUUUAAAGCCGGAUUUGGAUACAAAAAGAUUUCCCAAGCUUUAAACAUCUCAAGGAGCACUGUGCAAGCCAUCAUAUUGAAAUGGAAGGAGCAUCAGACCACUGCAAAUGUACCAAGACCCGGCCGUCCUUCCAAACUUUCUUCUCAAACAAGCAGAAAACUGAUCAGAGAUGCAGCCAAGAGGCCCAUGAUCACUCUGGAUGAACUGCAGAGAUCUACAGCUGAGACUCCAUCCCUAACCUCUUGCACCUCUGCCGGCUGAAGCUCAGGUCGAUAAUGGGACCGGACUUGGUGUUGAAUUCGGACGUUGUGCAGAAGCUCCAUGUGCCCACAGAGCUUCACAGCUCCCUACAGUUUAAAGAUAUCCAGGUG